AACGAACGCUGGCGGCGGGCCUCAUACAUGCAAGUCGAGCGCGAAAGUCCGCAAGGAUGAGUAAAGCGGCGCACGGGUGAGUAACACGUGGGUAAUCUACCUCUUGGAUUGGAAUAACCUGUCGAAAGACGGGCUAAUGCCGAGUAAGCUCUCUUGAACGUGGAGUUCGAGCGAGGAAAGAUGGCGCAAGCUAUCGCCGAGAGAUGAGCCUGCGUCCCAUUAGUUAGUUGGUGGGGUAAUGGCUUACCAAGACAAUGAUGGGUACCUGGU
rnacentral:rRNA from 1 species